UCAUUACCAUUAAAUAUGAAGGCCCUUCAAACCGGCUGGAUUAUUUUUAUUCACCCUUGUCUUUUGCGCACUUGUUGUUUCCUGGGCGGGUUCGCUCGCCACCAGGACCACAUCAUAAACCUUUUUUGUUAAUGCAAUCAGCGUCAGUAUAACAAAUGUAAAUCAUUUACAACUUUCAACAACGGAUCUCUUGGUUCUGGCAUCGAUGAAGAACGCAGCGAAAUGCGAUACGUAGUGUGAAUUGCAGAAUUCAGUGAAUCAUCGAAUCUUUGAACGCACAUUGCGCCCUUUGGUAUUCCAAAGGGCAUGCCUGUUCGAGCGUCAUUUGUACCCUCAAGCUUUGCUUGGUGUUGGGCGUUGUUUGUCUUUGGUCCGCCCAAAGACUCGCCUUAAAACAAUUGGCAGCCGGCCUACUGGUUUCGCAGCGCAGCACAUUUUUGCGCUUGCAAUCAGCAAAAGAGGUUGGUCAUCCAUCAAGACUACAUUUAUACGUUUGACCUCGGAUCAGGUAGGGAUACCCGCUGAACUUAAGCAUAUCAAUAAGCGGAGGA
rnacentral:rRNA from 1 species